rnacentral:rRNA from 1 species
UACGUAGGGGGCAAGCGUUAUCCGGAUUUACUGGGUGUAAAGGGAGCGUAGACGGCGAUGCAAGUCUGAAGUGAAAGGCGGGGGCUCAACCCCUGGACUGCUUUGGAAACUGUAUGGCUGGAGUGCAGGAGAGGUAAGUGGAAUUCCUAGUGUAGCGGUGAAAUGCGUAGAUAUUAGGAGGAACACCAGUGGCGAAGGCGGCUUACUGGACUGUAACUGACGUUGAGGCUCGAAAGCGUGGGGAGCAACAGG